rfam:Flavobacteria bacterium BBFL7 scf_1099451317783 genomic scaffold, whole genome shotgun sequence.
GCAGCAGGUCGCUCUAUCGCUUCUUAUGAAGAGGAAAGUCCGGGCACCAUAGGAUAGUAUAACGGUUAAUGGCCGUCAUUACGCUUUCGCGAAAGCGUAAUAGGACAAGUGCAACAGAAAGUAUGUACAGGUAAUGCUGUAGUGAAACCAGGUAAACUCUAUACGGUGAAAUGUUGCGUAUAUCAGAGCUUGAGCGCGAUCCGCGCGAUUCUGAAGGGUAAACAGAUAGAGAUUGCGAGUAAUUGUAAUUCUAGAUAAAUGAUAGAGUGCUUGAGCAAUCAAGUAACAGAAUCCGGCUUAUAGACCUGCUUUUUAU